rnacentral:rRNA from 1 species
CAGCAGCCGCGGGAAAACGAAGGGUGCAAGCGUUACUCGGAAUUACUGGGCGUAAAGCGUGCGUAGGUGGUGGUUUAAGUCCGUUGUGAAAGCCCUGGGCUCAACCUGGGAAUUGCAGUGGAUACUGGGUCACUAGAGUGUGGUAGAGGAUAGUGGAAUUUCCGGUGUAGCAGUGAAAUGCGUAGAGAUCGGAAGGAACAUCUGUGGCGAAGGCGACUAUCUGGGCCAACACUGACACUGAGGCACGAAAGCGUGGGGAGCAAGCAGGAUUAGAUACCCGUGUAGUCCCUGUCUCUUAUAC